rnacentral:rRNA from 1 species
GGGGUAGUAGGUUGGUCAUGCCUCUGGUAUGUACUGAUCUCACUGAUUCCUCCUUCCUGAUGAACUGUAAUGCCAUUGAUUUGGUGUUGCAGGGAAUCUGGACUGUUACUUUGAAAAAAUUAGAGUGUUUAAAGCAAGCUAACGCUUGAAUACAUUAGCAUGGAAUAAUGAAAUAGGACGUUCGAUCCUAUUUUGUUGGUUUCUAGGAUUGACGUA